GACGAACGCUGGCAGCGUGCUUAACACAUGCAAGUCGAACGGAAAGGCCCUGCUUUUGUGGGGUGCUCGAGUGGCGAACGGGUGAGUAACACGUGAGUAACCUGCCCUUGACUUUGGGAUAACUUCAGGAAACUGGGGCUAAUACCGGAUAGGAGCUCCUGCUGCAUGGUGGGGGUUGGAAAGUUUCGGCGGUUGGGGAUGGACUCGCGGCUUAUCAGCUUGUUGGUGGGGUAGUGGCUUACCAAGGCUUUGACGGGUAGCCGGCCUGAGAGGGUGACCGGCCACAUUGGGACUGAGAUACGGCCCAGACUCCUACGGGAGGCAGCAGUGGGGAAUAUUGCACAAUGGGCGGAAGCCUGAUGCAGCAACGCCGCGUGCGGGAUGACGGCCUUCGGGUUGUAAACCGCUUUCGCCUGUGACGAAGCGUGUGUGACGGUAAUGGGUAAAGAAGCACCGGCUAACUACGUG
rnacentral:rRNA from 1 species